GGCGGACGGGUGAGUAACACGUGGGUAACCUGCCUGUAAGAUUGGGAUAACUCCGGGAAACCGGAGCUAAUACCGGAUAACAUUUUGAACCGCAUGGUUCAAAGUUGAAAGACGGCUUUNNGCUGUCACUUACAGAUGGACCCGCGGCGCAUUAGCUAGUUGGUGAGGUAACGGCUCACCAAGGCGACGAUGCGUAGCCGACCUGAGAGGGUGAUCGGCCACACUGGGACUGAGACACGGCCCAGACUCCUACGGGAGGCAGCAGUAGGGAAUCUUCCGCAAUGGACGAAAGUCUGACGGAGCAACGCCGCGUGAACGAUGAAGGCCUUCGGGUCGUAAAGUUCUGUUGUUAGGGAAGAACAAGUACCAGAGUAACUGCUGGUACCUUGACGGUACCUAACCAGAAAGCCACGGCUAACUACGUGCCAGCAGCCGCGGUAAUACGUAGGUGGCAAGCGUUGUCCGGAAUUAUUGGGCGUAAAGCGCGCGCAGGCGGUUUCUUAAGUCUGAUGUGAAAGCCCACGGCUCAACCGUGGAGGGUCAUUGGAAACUGGGGAACUUGAGUGCAGAAGAGGAGAGUGGAAUUCCACGUGUAGCGGUGAAAUGCGUAGAGAUGUGGAGGAACACCAGUGGCGAAGGCGACUCUCUGGUCUGUAACUGACGCUGAGGCGCGAAAGCGUGGGGAGCGAACAGGAUUAGAUACCCUGGUAGUCCACGCCGUAAACGAUGAGUGCUAAGUGUUAGGGGGUUUCCGCCCCUUAGUGCUGCAGCUAACGCAUUAAGCACUCCGCCUGGGGAGUACGACCGCAAGGUUGAAACUCAAAGGAAUUGACGGGGGCCCGCACAAGCGGUGGAGCAUGU
rnacentral:rRNA from 1 species